rnacentral:rRNA from 1 species
CCUACGGGUGGCAGCAGUGAGGAAUAUUGGUCAAUGGACGAGAGUCUGAACCAGCCAAGUAGCGUGAAGGAUGACUGCCCUAUGGGUUGUAAACUUCUUUUAUAUGGGAAUAAAAUGUUCCACGUGUGGGAUUUUGUAUGUACCAUAUGAAUAAGGAUCGGCUAACUCCGUGCCAGCAGCCGCGGUAAUACGGAGGAUCCGAGCGUUAUCCGGAUUUAUUGGGUUUAAAGGGAGCGUAGGUGGAUUGUUAAGUCAGUUGUGAAAGUUUGCGGCUCAACCGUAAAAUUGCAGUUGAAACUGGCAGUCUUGAGUACAGUAGAGGUGGGCGGAAUUAGUGGUGUAGCGGUGAAAUGCUUAGAUAUCACGAAGAACUCCGAUUGCGAAGGCAGUUCACUGGACUGCAACUGACACUGAGGCUCGAAAGUGUGGGUAUCAAACAGGAUUAGAUACCCGUGUAGUC